rnacentral:lncRNA from 1 species
CCAUCCACUAUAGAAGUUCGGACGGAGUCCGGCUCUUAUAGGAGCUCGGAUGAAAUUCACUUGCAAUAGAAGUUCGGAGCAGAGUCGAUCGUGGCUGGAAGAAGUCUGGAAGAGAUUCGAAGAAUAGUCGAUCACUGUAGAAAAUCGACUGAUAGUGAAGCUCAGAGAGCGUUUGGAGCAGUCCGGUAGAUGAAUGGAGGAGCUCAUUAUAGAAGAAGUCCGAAUGGUAUUAUGGAAGCUCAAACAGUUAGGGGAGUUCAGAAAGACGCUGCAUAAGGUCGGAAGCCGGAAGAGCCCUGAGAGGGUCGGCCUUUUACGAACUUCGG